GACGAACGCUGGCGGCGUGCUUAACACAUGCAAGUCGAACGGUGAAGGGGCCUGCUUUUGUGGGCCCUGGAUGAGUGGCGCACGGGUGAGUAACACGUGAGUAACCUGCCCCCUUCUUCUGGAUAACCGCAUGAAAGUGUGGCUAAUACGGGAUAUUCUGGGUCUGUCGCAUGAUGGGUCUGGGAAAGAUUGCGCCUUUGGGUGUUUUUGGUGGGGGAUGGGCUCGCGGCCUAUCAGCUUGUUGGUGGGGUGAUGGCCUACCAAGGCGGGGACGGGUAGCCGGCCUGAGAGGGUGGACGGUCACACUGGGACUGAGACACGGCCCAGACUCCUACGGGAGGCAGCAGUGGGGAAUAUUGCACAAUGGGCGCAAGCCUGAUGCAGCGACGCCGCGUGAGGGAUGGAGGCCUUCGGGUUGUAAACCUCUUUCGCCAGUGAAGCAGGCCUGCUCCUUGUGGGUGGGUUGACGGUAGCUGGAUAAGAAGCGCCGGCUAACUACGUG
rnacentral:rRNA from 1 species